rnacentral:rRNA from 1 species
UACGAAGGGGCUAGCGUUGCUCGGAAUCACUGGCGUAAAGCGCACGUAGGCGGGUUCUUAAGUCAGGGGUGAAAUCCUGGAGCUCAACUCCAGAACUGCCUUUGAUACUGAGGAUCUUGAGUUCGGGAGAGGUGAGUGGAACUGCGAGUGUAGAGGUGAAAUUCGUAGAUAUUCGCAAGAACACCAGUGGCGAAGGCGGCUCACUGGCCCGAUACUGACGCUGAGGCACGAAAGCGUGGGGAGCAAACAGG